rnacentral:tRNA from 1 species
UAGAGAGUGGUGUAGAGGAAGCACGAGGAGUUUUGAUCUCCUAGGGGAGGGUUCAAGUCCCUUCUUUCUAA